CGAGGCAUUGUGUAUCUGAUGGGGAAGUUGUUGAGCUAAGGUACUUGGUGUGCCUUUAAGAAAACAGCGCCGACGGGUCAACAUCAGGUUAUAGUGCCUCGAGGUCUCAGGCUCUCUUUUAUUUAUGCAUGUUUCAAUUCUGUGUUGUUUUCCUGCUUUCAUGCGGCCUCUACAAAAUGCUGAAACGAAACUAACAUGAACUCGUGGUGGACGUAUCAUCCACACUGUGGACUUAUGGAGGAAGGACAAAGAGAGCAAGCAGCAAUGGAGUCAGCCAAUGAAAGAGCAUGUUGGGGGAUUUUUCCAACUAAAGGCAGACGAGGGCAAACCCCCACCCGUGAGCCUACAUCCUCAUCCAUCCCCGAUUCAAUUUACACUGAUCUGCAGAGAGGUGCACUUAUCAUUGAGAGCAGGGGGGAGGUGGUAUGGGGGGUGAGCCAGCACAUUGUCUCUGUAUGAACCAAGGGCAUUGGAAAAUAAAAGCGGACUGCGGUGAGAUAAUAA